UGCCUCUAGAAAUAUAAUUAGAGGUCCAUCCUGCCCGGUGAUUAAUUUUCAACGGCCGCGGUAUUCUGACCGUGCAAAGGUAGCAUAAUCAUUUGCCUUUUAAUUGAAGGCUUGUAUGAAAGGACAAACGAAGCUUUAACUGUCCCUGUACUGAAUUUAAAAAUUAGGUUUCAGGUGAAGACACCUGAAUUCAGUAGAAAGACAAGAAGACCCUAUAGAGUUUUAAUCUUAAUUUAGCCUCUGUCUAAAUUAAAGUUUUGGUUGGGGCGACCAAGGAUUAACUAAAACAUCCUUUCCUAUGAAGGUCUUGAACCGUAUUAAUGACCCUUCAAUAGAUCAACAAAACAAACUACCUUAGGGAUAACAGGCUUAUCUUCCUAAAGAGCUCAAAUUGAAAGGAAGGUUUGGCACCUCGAUGUUGGCUUAGAGAACACUCACAAAUGCAGCCGUUUGUGAAGUUAGUUUGUUCAACUAUUAAAUCUCU
rnacentral:rRNA from 1 species